rnacentral:pre_miRNA from 1 species
AUCACCUGGGGAUCUUGUUAAAAGGCAGAUUCUGAUUCAGUAGGUCUGAGAUAGAGCCCAAGAUUCUGCAUUUCCAACAAGCUCUCAGGUGAUGCCCA